GGCUGCACGGACACACAGGAGGAAGGUGAGCUGAUUCAUCAGCCCCGCGUUAGAGGCACAUAAUGGAAUAUAAUGGAAGGGGAAAGACUAAUAGCAGAGGAGCAGAAAAGGUGGAAACCCACAGCUUUCUAGGAUCUCCUUAAAGAUUUUCCCGGAAGAAAGCCAAAACAUUAACUUUGCAUUUAUCAUAUAAAUAAGGGUAUUUUAAAAAAAUCUAUCUACAGGCACACAUGCACACUGGGUUGGAGCCUUGUCUAACUCUUCGGUGCGCUGGUGCAACUCCAUUAAAACAGCAGCAACAUGCUAGUAUGGAAACGAAUGUAAGAUCUUCUAUGAGUGAUUAUGGACAAACGGAAUCAGAUCAGCCAGAUAUCUGCAUCCUUCCAGGGAAACUGGCUUCCAUCAGAUGACUGAGCUUGCUAUUUAUAGCAAAUUUGGGGUGAGUUAACUGUUUGUUUCAAUGCACUUUGGAAAGCUUUCCUCCUCCAGCUCCGUCUCUGCCAUCUUCGCGAAGAUUAUGGGUUCAACCAAUCUGGAGCAGUUGGAGGCAGUAUCUCUUCCCAAAUACUGAGGGGAGUCCUGGAUCCAAGGCAGGAAUUCAUCUUUAACAUAAACAGAAUCAAUAUCUGACCUCAAGCUUGUGCCCCUGUAAGUACUUUCUAAAUUACUGGUUUAGCAGCUUAUAAUGUCUGGGCAAAAUGCCACCCAAGCAGGAAGACCAAGAUGUGGUGGAAUAUAACACAGCUAGCCACAAUAAAUGUGAAUAUUUGUGCAUUGGAAGCACACAGAUUGUGCUUGCAAGUGUAUUUUUAAAGCACAAUGAGGAAAGCAUGAAGCUACAGUCCAGCUAUUUCAAGGAGAAAAAGAGCAAGGAGGAAUGUUCCAGGCAAAUUUUUAGUAAAUGUGUGUGCAAUGAAACAGUUCCAGCCCAAGGCAUUUUUAGCAAGUCACAGCAGCAUGCUGCUUGAUCUUUACCACAACAUUUCCUACAGAAACAGUGUGAGGAAGCUUGCCCGGACUUUCCAGAGGGCUGGGGAAUGGAGAUGACCUACUGCAAAGUUCAAGGAACAAUUUCCAACACAACUGGAAACUUUUCCAGUGAUCUUCCUCUCUUCUGUUAACCACAUCUUGAAGACUGGAAUUGCUAUAAAGGAGUCUCCAAAUAUUUUGAAAGAUAUUAAAAAGCCAUGUAGUCUUCGCAUGCUUAGAAGUCUUGAGGAGAAAAAAUGUUGAAAUAAACAACUCUCUUUUCAGUUGUAGAAACUUUCAAAGGGUGUUUACUUGCUCGAGCAUUUCAGUAAUGUUUGGGGGACCAUUGUCCUCAGACAAAACAAAGUAAAUUGAGUAGCAGCCGAUGAGAA